GGUUUUGUAGCUCAAUUGGUUAAAACAUUGGUCUUAUGAGCUAAAAGUCGUGGGUUCAAGCUCUACUAAGACCA
rnacentral:tRNA from 1 species